CAGAAGCUAGAACCUUAAUGAGGUAUUAACUAAUUGGCUUACUAAUAUGAUCCAUCCUCAAUUUAGAUAAAAUAUAAAAUAUAAAUUAAGGAAAUUAACAAUACUAAUUAAUAGAUAUCUAAUUAACUAAUAGAUAAUUUCAUAAUGAAUUAUUGGAAGGGUGAAUAACUAAAAUAACGAGUUUAAUAUUAAACAUCGGUUAAAACAAGAAUCUUGAACAUCACUAACAGAAACAGAAGAGGAAAGCUGUAUACUAUUGGUCCAGGUGGGAAUCUGAAAUUUCAUUGGCUGAGAGAAAUAAGUCCCGCCUCCGCGAAAUAAAACCGUGCGACGCAGCUGAGCGAGAGGAGAGACAAACGGCUGUGCAGCACGCAGAUACAGAAAGCAAAGACUGAGCGGUUAGAGAGAGAGAGAGAGAGAAAAAAAAAACAACGGUCGAGGCCGUGAAGAACCCUGAUUUGGGUGCCGCAUAGAUAGAGGGAGAGGCGGACUUGACUCCUUCUAAUAAGAGCUAGGAACUUGGAACCAACGCGAUUUGUGUGGAGACGACAGAGUGAACCAAUCCUCUGUAGGAGGGAGCCGUUGGAGCGCGUUGGUGAGUGAAUGAGAUUAAAUUCAGUAAAUUAUUAAAUUCAAAAAGCUAAUUACAGCAACCGAGGUGACAGCAGUGGGCUGCUAGACGUUAGAUCCCAGGAGUUAACAUCUCAAACUACCAGUUAACGGUGGUAGGGCAUAUAGGAGUUAACGGCUCAAACCGCCAGUUAACGGCGGUACGGCAUAUGGGAUUCCCAGGAGUUAACGGCUCAAACCGCCAGUUAACGGUGGUACGGCCUAGAUGUACAAGGUCCUCAGGGGCGUUAUAGCUAACGCCAUAGAAUUAGCAAUGCGUCCCUUAACCAAACAUUUAAUAAUAAAAAAAAUAGAUAAAUAAAAAUAAAUAAAAGCUAACUGAUUAGGGAGGAAUUAUUUUACAAAGGUGGACCAAAGGACCAGAAUUUAUAUUUUGUUGAAUUUUGUUAUAGAACAUUUUAUUUAUUUAUUUAUUUAUUUAUUUAUUUAUUUAUUUAUUGUGUUACAGAUAUACAAGGUGUCACAAUGCUGUAUAGAAACACAACUAAAUGUAUCCUUGUUGUCAUGAAUGUAUUUCUUGUUGAAUAGUGUAGAGUAAUAGAAUCUAACUGAGCCUAUUGAGCUGAACAAUUGUUGUCAUAUGUAAUUAUAUUUCCAGAGCUACUGAGAAUUAUUUUAAUAGACAAUCAAAUUGAUGUUAUGUUAGUUGAACUGUGAACCCAAACAUGAUUGGCUAUGCCAAUAGAGUGAAGCAUUUGUUUAAGUCUGUAAGACUUUAUGCUGUGAUGUGACGAGAAGGGUCGAUGCCAACUCGCUAACAGUCCUGUUGUUUACAGGCUGGGUUUUUUUUUUCCCUUGGGUUUGAUCCCGACUCCUAUGAUCACUCACUUGGAACGAGAACUGGAUUUCUUCCUGACGAGGGAGAUGGCGAGCCUUAACCACUGAACGAACCAGGACAUCUCAAGUAACUGAAGAGCAGACUGCUCUCUUCUGUGAACAAUCUCAACGGUGUGGUAGGAAAAAAUCGCACCACCGGACUCUGACUUUCACCCCAAGCGUGGGGAUUUGACUUGACGCCGGCUGACUUGUGACUCAUAUGAUCAAAUCUCAUACCGACCAAUUUACUAUUGUCGAUUGUUUUCAUCUGUUUUUGUGUGUUAUCUUUAUGUGUUAUAUUUCCCAUUAUUAUUAAAAUUUAGUAUAUAAACCGUUUCAUGCUAUACCCGUGACUCCAGUCAUUCUUAAACAACCUCCAAUUCUCCCCGAACCUAAUUAUUGGCCCAUUUGUUUAUUUUUUCUUUUAAUUAUCUUAUUGUAUCCUGUAAUCCGGUUACAUAAAACUUGGCGAGCCAGCCAGGAGCAUUGUAGAGUUGUUACCUUAGCUAACCAUUGACUGACAUCAUAAGAGUGCCUGGAGGUCACAGUGGUUUGCCAUUUUGGCAUUAUUGGUACUUUUGAGUGUUUUAAAAUGGAAGUUGUGAAAACAGAAAAGGUCAAAGUUUCAAAUGCUGUUUUAAUCAGUGGGUUAACUGAUACAGACCUUGAUAACGAAGUCUUUGGGUUUAUGGAAGGAUUCGGACCAGUUAACAGGCGCAUUAAGUUACCAAACUGUGAUCAGAUUAUUGUGGAGUUUCAACAUGAAGCCACUGUUAAGGAAUUAAAGAAACAAUGUUUACCCUAUGACAAACCUUGUACUAGGAACCCAGAUGUUUUCUUUCAUAUUCAAGACCUAGCCAGCGCGUACAGUCUAGAAACUAGCACAUCUGCCACUGAUGCCUAUCUGUCAGAGCUCAGGGACAUAGCUGCGCGUAGCAAUCAAUCAUUUAAAGACCUUCUAAUGGAGGAACUGGCAAAAAUUGGGGAAUCUUUAGGAAGGGAUACCCAUGCAUCUGAACCAGUCACUGAACCAGAGCCAAUGCUCCAUAGUGACCAAGUUACAUAUUCCCUGCCUUUAACACCAGAAGUUAACUAUAUGAACAACUCAAAGGACAAUUGUCCACCUACAGAGACUGGAAAACAAAACCCUUGCAUUCCACCAAAUCUUUUAAACACACCUGAGGUUCAGCGAGUUAUUGUGGAACACAUUGUUAAAAGCAGUGAGGUUAUCCCUCCGCCUACUUCACAAUACAGACUAAAACCGUUCUCAGGGCGAGUUCCACACCCUUCUUUUGAAACUGACUAUGAUACUUGGCGUAGUAGUGUAGUGUUAUGCAUAAAUGAUCCUUCACUCACCAAGUCCCAAAUUGUACGAAGAAUCGUGGAGAGUCUGUCAGCCCCAGCAGCGAGCAUCGUUAAAGCUCUUAGUCCAAAAUCCGACCCGGAAACGUACCUUGAACAUCUCGAUUCAGCUUACGCAGCUGUCGAAGACGGCGACGAGCUCUUUGCUCGCUUCUUAAACACAAACCAGGACAGUGGUGAAAAACCUUCCGAUUACUUUCAGAGGUUAUACACCUUGUUAAACCUAGUUAUUCAGAGGAAUGGAAUUUCCUCCAGUGACGCCGACCAGCAGCUGCUCAAGCAGUUUUGCAGAGGCUGUUGGGACAGCUCGCUGAUUUCAAACCUGCAACUCGAACAAAAGAAAGACAACCCGCCUCAUUUUACAGCACUUCUCCUCAAACUGCGCACUGAAGAAGACAAACAGGCUACUAAAGCAGCACGCAUGAAACAACACUUAGGGGCACAACGAACUAGAGUGUAUUCAAAUGUGCAAACAACAUGCUCUCAGAGUAAAAACACUUGUGAACUGGAAAUAGAUGAUAACUGUGAUGACUUACGCAAACAAAUCGCUGAGCUCAGGAGCCAAAUUGCACAGCUUAAGGUUAACAACACAGAUAAAAAGGCAAAGAAAACUCAAAAAGAGUCAAAACCCCGUGUGGGGACUAAAAUUCCAGAUGAGCCCAAACAGAUUCAGCAGAUAACAGCAGUGGUGCCCAGACCAAAGCCUGGAUACUGUUUUAAGUGCGGAGAAGAUGGGCACAUAGCUUCUAGCUGUAGCAACGAGCCAAAUCCAGCACUAGUUGCAACUAAAAGACUUGCUCUUAGACAGAAGCAGCGCGAGUGGGAGAUGUCAAAGCCAAUUGCUCAGUCUCCUCCUUUAAACCGGUAGAAGCUCCUAUCGUGGGACAGAUAGGUGCUAAAGUAGAAACAAGUCCCUCUAAGGAAAGGACAGAGAGACUUUUUUGCAAGCCAGUUCAUGCUCAUUCAGUGCCAAAACUUCCCAAAAGAUUAGUGGGUGGGCGAUGCACAGCUACAGUCUCAGUUAACAGUGUUGAAUGUAAUUGUUUACUGGAUUCAGGGUCCCAGGUAACCACCAUUGCCAAUUCUUUUUACCAAGAACACUUACCUGACCUCUCAAUUAAACCCAUCAGUAAUCUGUUAGAAGUCGAGGGCGCAAACGGUCAAGCAGUUCCUUAUUUAGGAUACAUAGAGAUAAGUGUCACAUUUCCAAAAGAGCUCGAUCAGUCUGGACUUGAGUUACCUACCCUUGCGUUAGUGGUUCCGGAUAUAAGCUCAAACUCUGAUACACCACUACUCAUUGGCACAAACACACUCGAUCCUUUGUAUGAGCAAUUGUCUGCCAAUAACUUACCUGAUUCCAAGGCACUCUCUUAUGGGUACCAACACGUGCUAAAAGCCUUAGCAGUCAGAAAAAAACAAAGCAAAGAUGGACGAGUUGGUGUGGUGAAGCUUCGAGGGAGAACCCAAGAAGUUCUCCCUGCAAAUAAAAAACUGUUACUAGAAGGGUUUAUGCAACCCAGCCAAAACAAGCAUGAGCCUUAUGCACUCAUUGAACAACCCACCAAUGGUUCUCUACCAGGGGGUAUAAUUGUAGACUGUUGCCUCAUUUCCUUACCUUCACAUGGUCCAUACAAAGUACCUGUUGUACUAAGAAACGAAACUAACCAUGACAUCACAUUACCCACUAACUGUGUGAUCGCUGAGUUAGUUAAAGCCGAUCGUGUUAUGCCAUAUCCAGAACCUGACAAAAGUGAUCAGAAAGUACUUGCGGCGUGUAGUUCGCAGCAACAGACUUCACCUUCAAACCCUCCUCUCAGUUUUGACUUCGGUACUUCGCCCUUGUCCGAAGAAUGGAAAGGGAGGAUCACCAACAAACUUAACACUUACUCCGAUGUGUUUUCGCACCACGAUCUUGAUUUUGGUCAUACACAACAGAUAAGACAUCACAUCAACUUAAAAGACGAGACCCCAUUCAAACAGAAAUCUCGGCCGAUCCAUCCACAUGAUUAUGAAGCCGUGAGAAAACAUUUGGAAGCCCUCUUGGAAACCGGUAUAAUAAGAGAGUCGGAGUCUCCAUUUGCCUCACCAAUAGUGGUAGUUCGGAAAAAGAAUGGUGAGGUACGUCUAUGUAUAGACUAUAGAAAGCUUAAUCUGCAAACCAUUCGCGACGCAUAUGCCCUGCCUAACUUGGAGGAGUCCUUUUCUGCUCUCGCUGGAUCACAGUGGUUUUCUGUGAUGGACCUCAAGUCAGGUUACUAUCAAAUAGAGAUGUGUGAAAAGGAUAAACCUAAAACUGCUUUUGUUUGCCCGUUUGGGUUUUAUGAAUUUAACCGUAUGCCACAAGGAAUAACAAAUGCUCCAAGCACUUUCCAACGGGUUAUGGAAAAGUGUAUGAAGGACAUUAAUCUGAAGGAAGUGUUAGUUUUCCUAGACGACUUGAUCGUCUUUUCCAACUCCUUGGAAGAACACUAAACCAGACUUUCUCACGUUCUUGAACGGCUUAGAGAAUACGGACUCAAGCUAUCACCAGAUAAGUGUCGUUUUUUCCAGACAUCUGUGCGUUAUCUUGGACAUAUAGUAUCUCGAGAUGGCAUAAAAACCGAUCCAGAUAAGGUGGAAGCACUCAAAACAUGGCCGAAGCCUCAGACUUUGAAGGAACUCCAAUCUUUCUUAGGAUUUACCGGUUAUUACCGACGCUUCGUUAAAGAUUACUCAAAUAUUGUCAAGCCACUAACAUCUCUCACGGCUGGUUAUCCACCCAAACGGAAAAACUUUAAAACACCACCAUGUAGAUCAAAGUACUUGAACCCCAAAGAACCCUUUGGGAAUCGUUGGAGCCAAGACUGUGAGAAGUCCUUUCAAACUAUUAUUGAAAAACUUACCACUUCGCCAGUUCUUGGCUACGCUGACGCAAAACUCCCAUAUCUAGUACACACAGAUGCUAGUACGACCGGACUCGGUGCAGCGCUAUACCAAGUGCAAAACGGUGUCACACAGGUAAUCGCUUAUGCAAGUCGCGGUUUAAGCUCUAGUGAAACUAGGUACCCUGCGCACAAGUUGGAGUUUCUAGCCUUAAAGUGGGCCAUAACAGAUAAGUUUCAUGACUAUUUGUAUGGGAACACAUUCACUGUCAUUACUGAUAAUAAUCCGUUAACUUACCUCUUAACAACGGCAAAACUCGAUGCAACGAGCUAUCGUUGGCUAGCUGCGUUGUCCACCUAUAAUUUUGACAUCAGAUACCGUGCAGGUACACAGAACGUUGACGCGGAUGGCCUGUCUAGGAGGCUGCAUGAUAAACCUGAAGACAACUCAAAAUUCACUGAGGAAUGCCAACGACUAGAUGAGUUCCGAUCUCAUCUUUUAUCCUCUGUCAAAGAAGUCGAGCUUCAACUUCAAGCCGAAGCAGUGAAGGCAACAUGCCAAAAGCACAUGGUCUUGGAUGAGACUGAUUCUCCUUGUGGUUUAGUUCAGUCACUUGCCAUGUCUGCAGCGGCCAUUCCAGACCUAUUCCAGUUGGAAGACAAUAGUGACAGUUUCUUUGCUGUGCCCAAGUAUAACCAUGCUGACCUUGUCUCCUUGCAGAGGAAAGAUCCAACCAUUGGCCGAGUCAUUCAGCUGCUUAUGACUGACAAUAAACCGCCAACUGAUACUAUUGCAGAACCCCCGGUGGUUCUUAACCUUUUGAGAGAGUGGAAACGGUUUGAGUUUCAAAAUGAUUUACUGUACCGGAGACGCCAAUUAGGACCAGAGACAUCAUUGCAGUUAGUCUUGCCUGAUUCAUUACGUUCAACAGUCAUGCAAAGCCUACAUGAUGAUAUGGGGCAUCUUGGGGUUGAACGUACGACAGAUCUCAUUCGGUCCCGUUUUUACUGGCCAAGAAUGGCUAGUGAUAUCGAAAUCAAAGUUAAAACUUGCGAAAGAUGUAUCCGUCGGAAGGCCCUCCCUGACAAAGCUGCUCCAAUGGUGAGUAUUACCACCACCAGACCUAUGGAGUUAGUUUGCAUGGAUUUUCUCUCCAUAGAACCAGACAGUAAGAACACUAAAGAUGUCUUAGUGAUUACAGACCAUUUUACAAAGUAUGCAGUGUCCAUCCCAACCAAAGAUCAGAAAGCCACCACCGUCGCGAAGAACCUGUGGGAACAUUUUUUAGUCCACUACGGGUUUCCUGAGCGUCUUCAUAGUGAUCAGGGACGGGAUUUCGAAUCACGUACAAUCAAGGAACUUUGUUCUUUACUUGGUAUCCGUAAAGUCAGAACGAGCCCUUAUCACCCUCGUGGCAACCCCGUUGAACGGUACAAUCGUACAUUACUCAGCAUGUUGGGAACUUUACAAGCCACUGAGAAACAUCACUGGCGCGAUUUUGUAAAACCACUUACUCACUCGUACAAUUGUACAAAAAAUGACGUGACGGGAUACUCUCCCUACGAGCUAAUGUUCGGUAGGCAGCCUCGGUUGCCUAUAGAUAUUGCCUUUGGGUUACCGCAUUUGAACAAGCCCUCUAUAACUCAUUCUCAGUAUGUUAAAGAACUGAAGAGUCAUCUGGAACAGAGUUAUGACAUUGUCAUAAAAAACUCUCAAAAAACAGCGAGGAAGAACAAAGAACGGUUCGACAGAAACAUUCGUGAGUCCACACUAGGUGUGGGAGAUCGUGUUUUAGUCCGAAAUCUUCGCUUAAGAGAAAAGCAUAAAUUAGCAGACAAAUGGGAGCAAACAGUGUAUAUAGUUCUCAAACAGAUGGAAAACUUGCCAGUAUACACUGUAAAACCAGAGAACGGAGAAGGACCCAACAGAACACUCCACAGAGAUCUUUUACUGCCUUGUGGUUUUCUCUCUUCAUUAGAAAAUGAAACAGAACGCGUUACGAAACCUAGCAGACCUCAUACAAGACAGAGUUCAGCCUUAGAACCUGACCCAGAUGAGCCACUUGACGAAGAGGUAGAUGAGUUUUAUUACUCUGAUCUUCCACAAGUGCUAAACCGACCAUCCUAUCAAAUAGCGGUCACCUUGCCAAAUAGGGAACUCAUAGCAGAUUCAGGACCGGUAAAUAAUAUUCAACAACAAAACACACUAUCCUUACACACAGGGGAUCGCAAGGAACCAACCUUAGCUGGUAAUGAAAAUGCUGAAUUGUCCUUACUUGACAAAGGCAUCAACACCGAAACAUUCUUACCUGACAGAAUGAGUGAAACUGCGACAUUCUUACCUGAAAGAGUGAAAGAAGCAGCAACAUACUUACCUGAAAAAACGAAAAAAAACGAAGUAUACUUACCUGACGUAGAAACGGGGGAUGAAACUAACACAAACCUACCUCAAUUGGAUGGUGUCCUAAAGUCGCAGCAACGUGAUGUAAGUUUUGAACCCAUCAUACACGAUCAGACACAUACAUCUGAAAAGACCAAAGUCUUAGAGAAUAGCUCAUCAGCUCUGUCGGAAACAGAGAGCUCACUUCGUCCUGUCUCAGUUGAGAAUCAAACCGAAACGGAUGAGCAUGAUACUGUGCAACCAGAGAUGUAUGUCAGGAGAUCUGAACGAAGUAGUCAGCCUCCUCAAAGACUAACUUACUCUCAAUUGGGCAAUCCACUAGUGACCGUAGUUAGGUCCCUUUUCCAAGGACUUAAUAAAGCUUUUAUUGACUCUCUUACUCAAGAAGUUGUGUACCCCGUAGAAACAAUGCACAGGGACGUGCAUGAUAUUUAAUGGGGGAGGAUGUAACCCAGAAGCUAGAACCUUAAUGAGGUAUUAACUAAUUGGCUUACUAAUAUGAUCCAUCCUCAAUUUAGAUAAAAUAUAAAAUAUAAAUUAAGGAAAUUAACAAUACUAAUUAAUAGAUAUCUAAUUAACUAAUAGAUAAUUUCAUAAUGAAUUAUUGGAAGGGUGAAUAACUAAAAUAACGAGUUUAAUAUUAAACAUCGGUUAAAACAAGAAUCUUGAACAUCACUAACAGAAACAGAAGAGGAAAGCUGUAUACUAUUGGUCCAGGUGGGAAUCUGAAAUUUCAUUGGCUGAGAGAAAUAAGUCCCGCCUCCGCGAAAUAAAACCGUGCGACGCAGCUGAGCGAGAGGAGAGACAAACGGCUGUGCAGCACGCAGAUACAGAAAGCAAAGACUGAGCGGUUAGAGAGAGAGAGAGAGAGAAAAAAAAAACAACGGUCGAGGCCGUGAAGAACCCUGAUUUGGGUGCCGCAUAGAUAGAGGGAGAGGCGGACUUGACUCCUUCUAAUAAGAGCUAGGAACUUGGAACCAACGCGGUGAGUAAAGAAAAAAGAAGAGAAAAAGCUAACGAUGCAACUUAAAAAAAAAAGGAAACUUAAAUAGCUUAUCAAAUUAAUUCCAUUCUUAUAGAUUUGCGUGGAGACGACAGAGUGAACCAAUCCUCUGUAGGAGGGAACCGUUGGAGCGCGUUGGCUGGGUUUUUUUUUUCCCUUGGGUUUGAUCCCGACUCCUAUGAUCACUCACUUGGAACGAGAACUGGAUUUCUUCCUGACAAGGGAGAUGGCGAGCCUUAACCACUGAACGAACCAGGACAUCUCAAGUAACUGAAGAGCAGACUGCUCUCUUCUGUGAACAAUCUCAACGGUGUGGUAGGAAAAAAUCGCACCACCGGACUCUGACUUUCACCCCAAGCGUGGGGAUUUGACUUGACGCCGGCUGACUUGUGACUCAUAUGAUCAAAUCUCAUACCGACCAAUUUACUAUUGUCGAUUGUUUUCAUCUGUUUUUGUGUGUUAUCUUUAUGUGUUAUAUUUCCCAUUAUUAUUAAAAUUUAGUAUAUAAACCGUUUCAUGCUAUACCCGUGACUCCAGUCAUUCUUAAACAACCUCCAAUUCUCCCCGAACCUAAUUAUUGGCCCAUUUGUUUAUUUUUUCUUUUAAUUAUCUUAUUGUAUCCUGUAAUCCG